CCGUUUGUGUCGGGCUGAUGUAGUGAAUAUGCGUAUCAAUACCUCCAGGCGUAACUAUGAAUCCAGAACCACCAUGUACCUCUGUUGAAGCACCGAUAAUCAUAUUUGGCGUGAUGUUAUCCAUCGUAUCCGGAUUACCAGCACGCCCGAUACCGACUAUUUUACCAUCCUUGAUUCCAAUGUCUCCUUUUACAAUACCCCAAUGAUCAAUGAUAAUUGCAUCCGUAAUAACCAAAUCCAAAGUACCUUCAUCACGGGUAUGCACAGAUGAUUGGCACAUACCAUCACGG
rnacentral:sRNA from 1 species